UCUCACUUAUCAAAUCGUGUGUGCAAUUCUUGUUGGCGGCGGAAAGUACGAAAUUUAUUUCAGUUAUUUCAUUUGGUAGAAAACUCUACAAAAGAAGAGAGCGUUCAGAGUCCAGAUCGUUUUGUUUCAAACGUCAAUUUAAUACCGUCUUCUGUUUCGCUCUCUCAGCGAAGCCUUGUAAAUCGCAAAGUGUUUCGAAUAGGCUUACAUGCAACUGCAUCUCAACAUCAACCAAAUUAAAAGAU